rnacentral:rRNA from 1 species
GUUGAUCAUGGCUCAGGAUGAACGCUAGCUACAGGCUUAACACAUGCAAGUCAGGGGCAGCAUGUGGUGCUUGCAACCGAUGAUGGCGACCGGCGCACGGGUGAGUAACGCGUAUCCAACCUUCCCUAUAGUAGAGGAUAGCCCGGCGAAAGUCGGAUUAAUACUCUAUGUUGUUCAAUGCAGACAUCUAAGUUGAAUCAAAGGUUCACCGCUAUAGGAUGGGGAUGCGUCUGAUUAGGUAGUCGGCGGGGUAACGGCCCACCGAGCCAUCGAUCAGUAGGGGUUCUGAGAGGAAGGUCCCCCACAUUGGAACUGAGACACGGUCCAAACUCCUACGGGAGGCAGCAGUGAGGAAUAUUGGUCAAUGGGCGAGAGCCUGAACCAGCCAAGUAAGCGUGCAGGAUGACGGCCCUAUGGGUUGUAAACUGCUUUUAUACAGGGAUAAAGUCGGGGACGUGUCCCCGUUUGUAGGUACUGUAUGAAUAAGGACCGGCUAAUUCCGUGCCAGCAGCCGC